AUUGAACGCUGGCGGCAGGCCUAACACAUGCAAGUCGAGCGGAGCGGCGGACGGGUGAGUAAGGCCUAGGAAUCGGCCUGGUAGUGGGGGAUAACGACCGGAAACGGGCGGUAAUACCGCAUAAUAUCACACGAGCCAAGGUCGGAUUGGCUAGUUGGUGGGGUAAAGGCCUACCAAGGCGACGAUCCGUAACUGGUAUGAGAGGAUUAUCAGUCAGUCGAGAACUGAGACACGGUCCGACCUCCUCUGGGAGGCAGCAGUGGAGAAUAUUGUACAAUGGGCGGGAGCCGGAUCCAGCCAUGCCUCGUGUAUGAAGAAGGUCCUCGGAUUGGAAAGCACUUUAAGUUGGUGGGCGUUACCAACAGAAUAAGCACCGGCUAACUCCGUGCCAGCAGCCGCGGUAAUUC
rnacentral:rRNA from 1 species